rnacentral:rRNA from 1 species
UACAGAGGGUGCAAGCGUUGUCCGGAAUCACUGGGCGUAAAGGGCGCGUAGGCGGCCCGAUAAGUAGGGGGUGAAAUCUUGCGGCUCAACCGCAAGGCUGCCUUCUAAACUGUCGGGCUGGAGCACGGUAGAGGCAGAUGGAAUUCCCGGUGUAGCGGUGGAAUGCGUAGAGAUCGGGAAGAACAUCAGUGGCGAAGGCGAUCUGCUGGGCCGUUGCUGACGCUGAGGCGCGACAGCGUGGGGAGCAAACAGG